CCAUGUGUGAUGUAAAGAUGUUUAAAGCAGGUCUUGUGCAGUUACAGAGGACAGGACAGCAUCAAGAGUUUGUAGGAGAAUCAUGAUGAUGAUCAGUUGCAAUGUGAACUACCAAAUAACCAUGAAGUACAAGCAGAUCCAAUUAAUGUGGAACAAAUAAAGGAGAAUCAUGAUGAUGAUGAGCUGCUAUGUAAACUACCAAAUAACCAUGAAGUACAACCAGAUUCAAAGCAUAUGGAACAA